AUCCAGAAGACGAGUCACAAAUAAGACGAAACGCGCGUCCUGGAU
rnacentral:hammerhead_ribozyme from 1 species